UUUUUCACAUUGCAUCCUGUAGGUACACUUGAGGAAAUGGAGAUUUGGAUAGCUGGGAGAGAGAGAAAGGACCAGUGGCUUUCCUAAGAUGAACCAGUGGCUUGACAAGGCAGGGGAGCAGCAUUUGUUCCUUUGCUUUGCACUCCUGCACUCUGGUGGAUGCACCACGCAACUUUCAGACCUGCUUCAUUUUGAGCAAGAGAUACGCUCAAAACCAUCAGUGGAAUCAAGAAUUCCAGAGUAUAAAAUCAUGGACAGCCUCAAUAAACCACUUGAGCUGAUCUUGAACUCUGAACUCCAACUUCAGGGCACAUUUUGUAACAGAUAAAUGCUAAUUGCUCAGUGUACUGGGCUAACCACGGUGGGCACUCAGGCACCACAGAGCUGCUCCCUCACUUCGACCCUUACCCUGCCUGUGGUUCAGGAGAGGAAAAUGAGAAGCAAGGAAUGUUGGGGGUGAAAAAACACUAAAAAACUGUUUAAUAAGUGACUGAUAAGUGGAAAAAGAGGUAAGAAGGCAACAAAAAAAGAUUAAAAGGCAAUAAUUCCCCCCUCCCAUGGGUAACCCAGCCACUUCCUGAGGAAAAGACAGGCCAACCCCUAUAAAAUUCCUUGCUUUCCAUUCUGUUGCUGAACACCAUGGACGUUCCAUGCUAUGGAAUACUUUUUUGGUUAAUUUGGGUUAAUUUGGUUAAUUUGGAUUGGUCUGGUUGUGUCCCUCCCAGGUUAUUCUGCCUCUCAGCCUGUUUGGUGGGGGCAGAAUGAGAAGCAGAGGAGCCCUUCUUGCUGAGCAAGCCCUUUUCAGCAAAAGCUGAACAUUAGGGUGUUACCAGCACUGCUUUGCUAUUGCAAUAAGCUCAAACUUUUCAAAAUGGCACAAAUUUUAAAAGAGGUAUCUUGUUUUAUGUUAUGUUUUCCUGUUAAGUGAUGGAGGAUGUUGCCAUUGCAAUGCAUGGCUGAGUUAAUGCACUGUGUUACUGCUUUACAAAACAUCUCAUGCAGGAUAAUGUGAUGUGUAGUUUUAGAGUUUACAUCAGCCUUUUGUAACUGCUGUGCCAUGGUGCCCAAAGUUUGGGUACAAAUUCCCCUUCGAUGUCAUUUGGCAAAGCUGAGACUACUGAGUGGGAAAGGAAACCCUGAAUAGUCAGGAAACAAGCUAAUGAGAUGAAUGGCUUUAAUACUUCUGUCAACCACUCUAAAUCUACUCAUUCUGGAAAUGCAUGCAGUUAUCCUUAAAAUAAAUUGCCUUUAUCUCAUAAUUGUCUCUGCUAA
rnacentral:lncRNA from 1 species